ensembl:lncRNA
AUCAACUAUUAAGCACAAGUUUUUUUCUUUGGGCAGCAUAUCUCCCUCACCUAGGAAGUCUUUAGAUGGUGGGAUAGUGGACCAUCCAUCUCGAAGUCUUUUCAGCUUCAGAGCUGCAGGUACUCCAUCUGAUAGCUGUCUGCUUCGGAGGCUAUCUGGAUUAUGGGGAAGCCCCUGUUGCAUGUUGGAUUGCUGGGACACAAGAAUGGGAAGAAACUUCUGUCUUGAAGAUCAUUGCUUUACUUCAGGAAUUAUCCCCCAUGGAGACUGAACGACUUGACGCUGGAGGGGAAAUAUUUGUUGUGCUAUGGAUGUGAAGCCAGCUAUCUACCUCUCUAUGGGAUGAUUUAUAGCCCACAGACUUUGGGGGUAGGAACAGGGGGAUCCUUUCAGGAAGAGAGUUCAUUGCUUUGGAGGGAAGUAGCGUGCUGGACUGACUGAGACAGCUUCUCGUGGCUGGAGUGGUUCAAGAAGUUCUUGCCCCCAACUCCUUGGUUGAGUAGCAAUCAUGCCUUUGAUGCUCCUCUUGCUUCAGUGCAAAGCCAAUGGUCUGGGUUAAUGCAGCCAGCAGCAGUGGGCUCAGCUGUGUUUUUGCAGUGGAUGCAGCAUGUUCAUGCAAUUAUUCAGGGUGGCUCAGCUAACUGCCCUGGAAGGCCAGUAAUGAAGAACUAGUAAUUAGGCUAGAUCCAGGGGAAUAAUAUGACCUCGCUCUUGGAUACUUUAAGAUAGGUACUACGUUUUUAAUAGAGAUGGACGCCAUAUAAAUAUCCAGAUAGAUUAAUGAUAUAAUGGAGGCUUUCUUGGCAUUACGGCAUCUUGAAACUGGCUACCACUGUUAGUCCAUCUGUGUUACGGAUUGCAGACCCAGGCCAAGAAAUAUUUAAGCAGAUGCUUAAAGUUAAUUAUAGAAGCAGGCCCAUUGAUUUCAAGAAGAAUGCUUACAUUUUUAAAAUCAGGCAUAUGUUAAACUGUUUUUCAAAAUGUAGGCCUAAUCCAGUAGUUUCCAUAAAAAAUAAAGCCUAGCAAACCUCAAAAUAACA